rnacentral:rRNA from 1 species
UACGUAGGGGGCGAGCGUUGUCCGGAUUUACUGGGCGUAAAGCGCGCGUAGGCGGAAGUGUAAGUGUGGCCUGAAAGCCCCCGGCUCAACCGGGGAGGGUGGCUGCAAACUGCGCUUCUUGAGGGCGAUAGAGGAGUGUGGAAUUCCUGGUGUAGCGGUGAAAUGCGUAGAUAUCAGGAGGAACACCGGUGGCGAAGGCGGCUCUCUGGACCACAACUGACGCUGAGGCGCGAAAGCUAGGGGAGCAAACAGG